rnacentral:rRNA from 1 species
AUUGAACGCUGGCGGCAUGCCUUACACAUGCAAGUCGAACGGCAGCACGGGAGCAAUCCUGGUGGCGAGUGGCGAACGGGUGAGUAAAGUAUCGGAACGUGCCCAGUCGUGGGGGAUAACGUAGCGAAAGUUACGCUAAUACCGCAUACGAUCUAUGGAUGAAAGCGGGGGAUCGCAAGACCUCGCGCGAUUGGAGCGGCCGAUAUCAGAUUAGGUAGUUGGUGGGGUAAAGGCUCACCAAGCCGACGAUCUGUAGCUGGUCCGAGAGGACGACCAGCCACACUGGGACUGAGACACGGCCCAGACGCCUACGGGAGGCAGCAGUGGGGAAUUUUGGACAAUGGGCGAAAGCCUGAUCCAGCCAUGCCGCGUGCAGGAUGAAGGCCUUCGGGUUGUAAACUGCUUUUGUACGGAACGAAAAGGUUUGGCCUAAUAAGCUGAGCUCAUGACGGUACCGUAAGAAUAAGCACCGGCUAACUACGUGCCAGCCGCCGCCGUAAUAC